UACGGGGGGAGCAAGCGUUGUUCGGAUUUACUGGGCGUAAAGGGCGCGUAGGCGGCCACCGCAAGUCGACUGUGAAAUCUCCGGGCUUAACCCGGAAAGGUCAGCCGAUACUGCGGGGCUAGAGUGCAGAAGGGGCAACUGGAAUUCUCGGUGUAGCGGUGAAAUGCGUAGAUAUCGAGAGGAACACCUGCGGCGAAGGCGGGUUGCUGGGCUGACACUGACGCUGAGGCGCGAAAGCUGGGGGAGCGAACGGG
rnacentral:rRNA from 1 species